AGGUUUAUGGUGGUGACGGAGACAGUUUCGAGGAGCACCAUUCACAUUCCAUUGCUAGCAUUUCACUCUAAUAAUUUAACAUUAUAAUCUCUAUCAUCAUCAUCAUCAUUAUAAAUCAAUGCCAUUAAAUAUAUAACAGAGUAACUUUUGCUACUUGAACACAAAAUCUAAAAGCUAUACAAUAUGCAAAAUAUCAAAACGUUAGUCCCCCACGC
rnacentral:lncRNA from 1 species